rnacentral:rRNA from 1 species
GACGUAGGGCGCGAGCGUUGUCCGGAUUUAUUGGGCGUAAAGAGCUCGUAGGCGGCUUGUCGCGUCGUCCGUGAAAACCUGGGGCUCAACCCCGGGCCUGCAGCCGAUACGGGCAAACUAGAAUUCGGUAGGGGAGACUGGAAUUCCUGGUGUAGCGGUGAAAUGCGCAGAUAUCAGGAGGAACACCGGUGGCGAAGGCGGGUCUCUGGGCCGAUAUUGACGCUGAGGAGCGAAAGCGUGGGGAGCGAACAGG